GGCUUAUACACUUAAUGAUAAGGCAAAAAUGAUAUUUUUCUUGAGGCAUAUGGUUUCUGAAGUUAUGACAACCAUGAACCUGAAUCUGGUGGGAAAACUGCUUUGGAGCUAAGAAUAUUUUCAAAGGGAACAUUUUUUGAGGCAGACCAUAACUGAAAACAGAAAUAAGCAAGAGGAUAAUUACUCUCUCCAUUUUUACAAAGGAUGAGAUGUAGAAACCAAAACUUCUGAGCAGUUUGAACCUGUUUGCAAAAUUUGAAAUGGUAUAAAUGAAUUCAAGUCUAACAGUUGAUUGGGCCAGUGGUGCAGAACAGGUGAACAGCAGGUGGAGUCAAGAUCUAGAAGCUAAAAGUUUGUUUUCUGCUGCUGUUUCUUUUAUUUGCGGAUAACAUUGUCUCGGUCCAGCUGACAUCGAUCCAUCAAAGUUGUUCCGCAAGAUGUGUGCCAUUGAAAUCUCAGGUUGGUUUUGUGGUGCUACUGACUGCGGAUCAAAGAAGCUUACAGAAGGGGAGCAUCUGUGGAAGAUGAAGUUUUGCAAGACUUUGUGACUGAGUGUGAUCACUAAAAUCUGAGUGGACUACUGGGCCAAUUCAUGAGCGCCUUCUAUGUGCUAUUGAUGUACAAUUUACAGUUUAUAAUCAAUGGCAGUUUGCCCAUUAAUUCAUGUUUAACUUAUAUUCCAGAAUCAAUAUAUUGUCUAAAAUAAUGUUUAAGUUUGUUUGAUUCUUGUACAGUUUUAA